AAGGAUGAGAAGCUUCGACUAAGGUUCGGCUCGAGCGUCAGCGAGAGAGCGUUGCCGCAGGCAACGACCCGAAGGGCGAAGCGCGCAGCGCUGAGUAAUCCUUCCCCCACCACCA
rnacentral:sRNA from 1 species